AUGCCUGUGCUUUUGGGCUGUCUAGGAAUAUAUAAGGGGCAACCUUUCCAGUUGGAGUGUUCAGAGGCUGCAUUCAAACAGUGGGAUCUUUGAAGGGGAAUGGCCCUAAAUUUGGGGGAAAACACCAAUAGAACAGGAAUGGUGUCUGGCCAUGCCAUGUGAAGACACGGGCGAUGCAGGAGAAAGCCUCUGCUGAGUUGUCUCUCCUUGUGGGCUUUACUACAAGGCUGUGGCACUGGAAGAAGCUUUCUCACAUGCGGUGUGAUGCUUCAGAGGAGGUCAGAAAUUCUGCUUUGGGUAGUCUGUCAGCAUGCUGUUUUGGUCUGAGAAGAAAUUGGGAAGCACAGAGGACUGAAACAAGUGAAUGAAGAAGCACCAAUGAAACUUUCCUGGGGAAAUGUAUUUUAGAGACAAAAUAUCCUGUAAUUUUCGAAGGUCCCUCCUUUCUACUUUCCUGCUUGCUGCAUCUCAUAUCUCGCGUCUCCAGCCUCCCAGCAGGUAUGCUUAAGAUCUUCAUGUUUAUUUAGUACAAGCAAAGUGUUUUUUACUAAGUCUG